UGGGGAAUUUUGGACAAUGGGCGAAAGCCUGAUCCAGCAAUGCCGCGUGUGUGAAGAAGGCCUUCGGGUUGUAAAGCACUUUUGUCCGGAAAGAAAUCCUUGGCUCUAAUACAGUCGGGGGAUGACGGUACCGGAAGAAUAAGCACCGGCUAACUACGUGCCAGCAGCCGCGGUAAUACGUAGGGUGCAAGCGUUAAUCGGAAUUACUGGGCGUAAAGCGUGCGCAGGCGGUUUGCUAAGACCGAUGUGAAAUCCCCGGGCUCAACCUGGGAACUGCAUUGGUGACUGGCAGGCUAGAGUAUGGCAGAGGGGGGUAGAAUUCCACGUGUAGCAGUGAAAUGCGUAGAGAUGUGGAGGAAUACCGAUGGCGAAGGCAGCCCCCUGGGCCAAUACUGACGCUCAUGCACGAAAGCGUGGGGAGCAAACAGGAUUAGAUACCCUGGUAGUCCACGCCCUAAAACGAUGUCAGCUAGUUGUUGGGGAUUCAUUUCCUAGUAACGUAGCUAACGCGUGAAGUUGACCGCCUGGGGAGUACGGUCGCAAGAUUAAAACUUAAAUGAAUUGACGGGGUCAUAGCUG
rnacentral:rRNA from 1 species